CAGUAGCCGCGGGAAUACGGAGGGUGCAAGCGUUAAUCGGAAUUACUGGGCGUAAAGCGUGCGUAGGCGGUUCGUUAAGUCUGUUGUGAAAGCCCCGGGCUCAACCUGGGAAUGGCAAUGGAUACUGGCGAGCUAGAGUGUGUCAGAGGAUGGUGGAAUUCCCGGUGUAGCGGUGAAAUGCGUAGAGAUCGGGAGGAACAUCAGUGGCGAAGGCGGCCAUCUGGGACAACACUGACGCUGAGGCACGAAAGCGUGGGGAGCAAACAGGAUUAGAUACCCCAGUAGUCCCUGUCUCUUAUAA
rnacentral:rRNA from 1 species